rnacentral:misc_RNA from 1 species
GAUGAAGAACGUAGCGAAAUGCGAUAAGUAAUGUGAAUUGCAGAAUUCAGUGAACCAUCGAAUCUUUGAACGCACAUUGCGCCCGGCAGUAAUCUGCCGGGCAUGCCUGUCCGAGCGUCAUUUCUGCCCUCGAGCGAGUCCAGCAUCUAGGUGCCGGGCCCGCCCGGCGUUGGGGCACUACGGGAAGCCCUGUGCUGUCCCCCGUAGGCCCCGAAAUGAAGUGGCGGUCCUGCCGCGGCGCCCCCUGCGUAGUAUAACAGCUCGCUUCGGGACCCGGUGGAGGCCUGCCGUCAAACCUUACUCUCUAAGUUUGACCUCGGAUCAGGUAGGGUUACCCGCUGAACUUAAGCAUAUCAAUAAGCGGAGGA